ensembl:snRNA U2 U2 spliceosomal RNA
UUCAAUUCUGUUGUAAAGCAGCUUUCUUGUAGUAUCUGUUCUUAUCAGUUUAAUAUCUGAUACGUCCCCUAUCCGGGGGCUACAUAUGAAAUUGAUUUUUGGAUCACGGAGCUGGAGACGGGACUUGCUCAGUCCAAUCCAAUUUUUU